rnacentral:rRNA from 1 species
GAUGAACGCUGGCGGCGUGCCUAAUACAUGCAAGUCGAGCGAAUGGAUUAAGAGCUUGCUCUUAUGAAGUUAGCGGCGGACGGGUGAGUAACACGUGGGUAACCUGCCCAUAAGACUGGGAUAACUCCGGGAAACCGGGGCUAAUACCGGAUAACAUUUUGAACCGCAUGGUUCGAAAUUGAAAGGCGGCUUCGGCUGUCACUUAUGGAUGGACCCGCGUCGCAUUAGCUAGUUGGUGAGGUAACGGCUCACCAAGGCAACGAUGCGUAGCCGACCGGAGGGGGUGAUCGGCCACUCUGGGACUGAGACACGGCCCAGACGCCUACGGGAGGCAGCAGUAGGGAAUCUUCCGCAAUGGACGAAAGUCUGACGGAGCAACGCCGCGUGAGUGAUGAAGGCUUUCGGGUCGUAAAACUCUGUUGUUAGGGAAGAACAAGUGCUAGUUGAAUAAGCUGACACCUUGACGGUACCUAACCAGAAAGCCACGGCUAACUACGUGCCAGCCGCCGCCGUAA